GACGAACGCUGGCGGCGUGCCUAAUACAUGCAAGUCGAGCGAGACUCUUCGGAGUCUAGCGGCGGACGGGUGAGUAACACGUGGGCAACCUGCCUGUAAGACUGGGAUAACACCGGGAAACCGGUGCUAAUACCGGAUAAUCCUUUUCCUCUCAUGAGGAAAAGCUGAAAGUCGGUUUCGGCUGACACUUACAGAUGGGCCCGCGGCGCCUUAGCUAGUUGGUGAGGUAACGGCUCACCAAGGCGACGAUGCUUAGACGACCUGAGAGGGUGAUCAGCGACACUGUGACUGAGACACGGCCCAGACUCCUACGGGAGGCAUCAGUGAGGAAUAUUGCGCAAUGGGCGAAAGCCGGACGCAGCGACGCCGCGUGGAGGAAGAAGGUCUUCGGAUUGUAAACUUCUGUUAAGCGGGAAGAAAAGCGAUGCUCUAAUACAGCAUUGACAUGACGGUACCGCUAGAGAAAGCACCGGCUAACUUCGUGCCAGCAGCCGCCGCCGAAA
rnacentral:rRNA from 1 species